GACGAACGCUGGCGGCGUGCUUAACACAUGCAAGUCGAACGGAGUGGCGAACGGGUGAGUAACGCGUAAUCAACCUGCCCUUCAGGGGGGAUCAACAGUUGGAACCGACUGCUAAUACCGCAUACUGAAUGAGGGGUUUGUGUCUGAUUAGCUAGUUGGAGGGGCAACGGCCCACCAAGGCGAUGGUCAGUAAGCGGUCUGGAGGGAUGAACGGCCACAUUGGGAAUGAGAAACGGCCCAGGAUCCUACGGGAGGGAGGAGUUGGGAAUCUUCCGCAAUGGACGAAAGUCUGACGGAGCAACGGCGCGUGAGUGAUGAAGGCCUUCGGGUUGUAAAGGUCUGUUAAGCGGGACGCGGUACCGGAAUAGAAAGCCACGGCUAACUACGUGCCAGCAGCCGCGGUAAUAC
rnacentral:rRNA from 1 species